AAAAUAUAAUUUUAGUGGUGGCAUAGUAUUCAUAGUACUAUAAUUUAUUUAUUACCCACAUAUAAUAAACAGGGCUUCCAUGGUGGCUCAGAUGGUAAAGAAUCUGCCUGCAAUGCAGAAGACCCAGGGAUCGAACCUGGGUCUCCCGCAUUGUGGGCGGACGCUUUAACCUCGGAACUACCAGGGAAGCCCAAGGGAGUAGCCAUCAGGAAUGAUGGAUGGAAGUGCCGUGACGCAAGUAUAGACGCCAAAGAUUCUUCAGGUCAGAUAGGUCUCGGUCUCGCUAUAUUAUUUCAGGAACCCAAGUGUGUUCUGAAGGGGUGUUUUGAUAUUAGUAACAACAUAUA
rnacentral:lncRNA from 1 species